UUUGACCAUCUACGGGUCUGCUAGAGAUGCUCCUACUUCCUCCUGCCGUUUCUUCCCUCGUCUAGCAAAACUGGGCAUCCUCUCAUCCAUGGCGAAUAUUGAUCCAAGAAUCCGCCAGGAUUCGACGCUGAGUCGCCGCUAGUUCCAAUCCCACGCGCUGCGCCGUCGCGUCUCCCUCUCUUCACUCGCUGAUCCGCAAAAAUGAAAUCCCCGAUCCAGCCACUGGCCAUACAUUCUGUUCCCCCUUUUGAUUGUAUACCUUCUAGUCCUUCAAUUUGUCAGUACUAAAUCUGACCAUUCUAAACAACCUGGAAGUGAGAGAGAAGCAACCACUAUGGGAUACAUCAGAUGUGCGGUGAGGUGAUUUAGGUGUCGUGUAGAGAUGGGUGGUGGAGGAGUCGUCAAGGAGAUUGCCUGAGCAGAAUCGUAACUCGUCAAAUACUAACCCACACGGACAGGAAACUUCUUCUGAAGAGAGGUGCAUGGAUAGGAAACUGGCUGACAUAACUAAGCCUCUCUGAAAUAGAGAAAGAUGCUGAACCAAGUCUAAACCUAACUGAGCAUGGCUGGUCCGAUGCCUCUUGGCUGGUUUUCUUUCAUCAUGGAGGUUGCAAAAGGUUCAGUGUAGAAUUUUGAUUUACCUUUCAUGGUGAACAAAAUAGGCAACAUGCAGGUUGUAUGCUAAGAUGAUGUUAUAUGAUAAGAUUAGUUUCUCAA